AAUAAAUUUGUGACAGACAUUAAAGGUCAAUAACUUUGUGACAUUAGUAUUUUGUCAAUAAUAGCAAUGCUCUACUCGUGUUUUUCU